UGGGGAAUAUUGGACAAUGGGGGAAACCCUGAUCCAGCAAUGCCGCGUGUGUGAAGAAGGCCUUAGGGUUGUAAAGCACUUUCAGUUGGGAGGAAUAUCCUGUGACUAAUAAUCAUAGGUUUGACGCUACCAACAGAAGAAGCACCGGCUAACUCUGUGCCAGCAGCCGCGGUAAUACAGAGGGUGCAAGCGUUAAUCGGAAUUACUGGGCGUAAAGCGCACGUAGGUGGAUAGGUAAGUUGGAUGUGAAAUCCCCGGGCUCAACCUGGGAACUGCAUUCAAAACUGCUUGUCUAGAGUAUAGUAGAGGGGAGUGGAAUUUCCGGUGUAGCGGUGAAAUGCGUAGAUAUCGGAAGGAACACCAGUGGCGAAGGCGACUCCCUGGACUAAUACUGACACUG
rnacentral:rRNA from 1 species